UCCCUGGUGGCUCAGAGGAUAGAGCGUCUGCCUGCAGUGCAGGAGACCCAGGUUCGAUCCCUGGGUUGGGAA
rnacentral:tRNA from 1 species